GAUGAACGCUGGCGGCGUGCCUAAUACAUGCAAGUCGAGCGAACAGACGAUGAUCUUGCUCCUCUGACGUUAGCGGCGGACGGGUGUGUAACACGUGGAUAACCUCCUUAUCAUUCUGGGAUAAUUUCGGGAAUCCGGAGCUAAUCCCGGAUAAUAUAUUGAACCGCAUGGUUCAAUAGUUAAAUACGGUUUUUCUGUCUCUUAUAGAUGGUUCCGCGCCGCAUUGGCUAGUUGGUAAGGUACAGGCUUAUCAAGGCGACGAUGCGUAGCCGAACUGAGAGGGUGAUCGGCCACACUGGAACGGAGACACGGUCCAGACGCCUACGGGAGGCAGCAGUAGGGAAUCUUCCGCAAUGGGCGAAAGCCUGACGGAGCAAGGCCGCGGGAGGGAUGAAGGUCUUCGGAUCGUAAAACUCUGUUAUUAGGGAAGAACAAAUGUGUAAGUAACUAUGCACGUCAUGACGGUACCUAAUCAGAAAGCCACGGCUAACUACGUG
rnacentral:rRNA from 1 species